rnacentral:lncRNA from 1 species
GAAAACCAAAGUGUAAAGGUUUUUGGAUUGUGAGCCCAGAAAACAAUCCAACUGUAAUCCGCGGGAUUAUAGUGAAUUUCCAAGGGGUCGCUUGGGGAGUGGACGUAGGUGCUUAGGAGAGCACCGAACCACUAUACUUCUUGUUGUUUGUAUUGUGCUUUGUUUAAUUCCACUAACUCAUCAAUUGACAUAAGUAAGAUAGUUAAAAUUAAGAGAAACCAAUUCACCCCCCCUCUUGGCUUAUCACCUUGGGCAACAAGUGGUAUCAGAGCAAGGUGCUCCAAUAGUACUUAUUGAUCUCACAAUCAAGAGUUAAAGAUCAUGACAACCCAAGUGGGAUGUUCUAUGAGUGAGGGGCAAUCCACAAAUAGACCUUCUCUAUUUAAUGGCACAAAUUACAUAUACUGAAAAGCUAGGUUGAGGAUAUUCAUUCAAGCUCUGGACUAUGAAUUGUGGUAUAUUAUUACUAGAGGACCUCACACACCCACAAUUAGUAUAGAGGGCACUAUCAUACCCAAACCAGAAAUGGAUUGGA